AGACACGGCUUGGGCGGCGUGCCUAACACAUGCAAGCCGAGCGGAGGUACAAUGAGAGCAAUCGAGAUGUACUUUAGGCGGCGGACGGGUGAGUAACGCGUGAGCAACCUGCCUAUCACGAGGGGGAUAAGGCGGCGAAAGCCGCUCUAAUACCGCAUGAGACCCUCAAAGCGAUGCAAUGGGGGUGAAAGGAGCGAUCCGGUGAGAGAUGGGCUCGCGUCCGAUUAGGUAGUUGGUAGGGUAAGGGCCUACCAAGCCAAUGAUCGGUAGCCGGCCUGAGAGGGUGAACGGCCACAUUGGAACUGAGAGACGGUCCAAACUCCUACGGGAGGCAGCAGUGGGGAAUAUUGGGCAAUGGGCGGAAGCCUGACCCAGCAACGCCGCGUGAGGGAAGAAGGUUUUCGGAUUGUAAACCUCUGUUCUUGGGGAAGAGGAAGAGACGGUACCCAAGGAGGAAGCCCCGGCUAACUACGUG
rnacentral:rRNA from 1 species